rnacentral:rRNA from 1 species
UACAGAGGUGGCAAGCGUUGUUCGGAAUUACUGGGCGUAAAGAGCGCGCAGGCGGUCGUUCAAGUCGCGUGUGAAAGCCCCCGGCUCAACUGGGGAGGGUCACGCGAUACUGAUCGACUCGAAGGCAGGAGAGGGUAGUGGAAUUCCCGGUGUAGUGGUGAAAUGCGUAGAUAUCGGGAGGAACACCAGUGGCGAAGGCGACUACCUGGCCUGUUUCUUGACGCUGAGGCGCGAAAGCUAGGGGAGCAAACGGG